AUUGAACGCUGGCGGCAUGCCUUACACAUGCAAGUCGAACGGCAGCACGGGUGCUUGCACCUGGUGGCGAGUGGCGAACGGGUGAGUAAUACAUCGGAACAUGUCCUGUAGUUGGGGAUAGCCCGGCGAAAGCCGGAUUAAUACCGCAUACGAUCUUCGGAUGAAAGCGGGGGACCUUCGUGCCUCGCGCUAUAGGGUUGGCCGAUGGCUGAUUAGCUAGUUGGUGGGGUAAAGGCCUACCAAGGCGACGAUCAGUAGCUGGUCUGAGAGGACGACCAGCAACACUGGGACUGAGACACGGCACAGACUCCUACGGGAGGCAGCAGUGGGGAAUUUUGGACAAUGGGCGAAAGCCUGAUCCAGCAAUGCCGCGUGUGUGAAGAAGGCCUUCGGGUUGUAAAGCACUUUUGUCCGGAAAGAAAUCCUUGGCCCUAAUACGGUCGGGGGAUGACGGUACCGGAAGAAUAAGCACCGGCUAACUACGUG
rnacentral:rRNA from 1 species